GAUGAACGCUAGCGGCGGGCCUAAUACAUGCAAGUCGAACGUGAAGCUCCUUCGGGAGUGGAAAGUGGCGGACGGGUGCGUAACGCGUAUGCAACUUACCCUUUACAGGGGGAUAGCCCAGAGAAAUUUGGAUUAAUACCCCAUAUAUCGGCAGUUUCACAUGGAACAACCGGGAAAAAUUUAUGGUAAAGGAUGGGCAUGCGUAUGAUUAGCUAGUUGGUAAGGUAACGGCUUACCAAGGCAACGAUCAUUAGGGGGUCUGAGAGGAUGAGCAGCCACACUGGGACUGAGACACGGCCCAGACUCCUACGGGAGGCAGCAGUGGGAAUUUUCCGCAAUGGGCGAAAGCCUGACGGAGCAAGACCGCGUGGGGGA
rnacentral:rRNA from 1 species